rnacentral:tRNA from 1 species
ACCAUGGUGGUUCAGGGGUAGAGUUUCUAGCCUUCCAUGCAGGAGACCUGGGUUCAAUUCCCAGCCAAUGCA